GAUGAACGCUGGCGGCGUGCCUAAUACAUGCAAGUCGAGCGAACAGACGAGGAGCUUGCUCCUCUGACGUUAGCGGCGGACGGGUGAGUAACACGUGGAUAACCUACCUAUAAGACUGGGAUAACUUCGGGAAACCGGAGCUAAUACCGGAUAAUAUAUUGAACCGCAGGGUUCAAUAGUGAAAGACGGUUUUGCUGUCACUUAUAGAUAGAUCCGCGCCGCAUUAGCUAGUUGGUAAGGUAACGGCUUACCAAGGCAACGAUGCGUAGCCGACCUGAGAGGGUGAUCGGCCACACUGGAACUGAGACACGGUCCAGACUCCUACGGGAGGCAGCAGUAGGGAAUCUUCCGCAAUGGGCGAAAGCCUGACGGAGCAACGCCGCGUGAGUGAUGAAGGUCUUCGGAUCGUAAAACUCUGUUAUUAGGGAAGAACGAAUGUGUAAGUAACUAUGCACGUCUUGACGGUACCUAAUCAGAAAGCAACGGCUAACUACGUG
rnacentral:rRNA from 1 species